CUAAGUCGUAACAAGGUAGCCGUACCGGAAGGUGCGGCUGGAACACCUCCUUUCUGGAGC
rnacentral:rRNA from 1 species